rnacentral:rRNA from 1 species
GACAGAGGGGGCAAGCGUUGCUCGGAAUUACUGGGCGUAAAUGGCGCGUAGGCGGGCUGGCAAGUCGGUCGUGAAAUCCCUCGGCUCAACCGAGGAACGUCGAUCGAUACUGCUGUUCUUGAGGAUUGCAGAGGAGACUGGAAUUCCCGGUGUAGCGGUGAAAUGUGUAGAGAUCGGGAGGAACACCGGUGGCGAAGGCGGCUCUCUGGGACGGUACUGACGCUGAGACGCGAAAGCGUGGGGAGCGAACAGG